GCCGCGCGGACCGCACACACGUCACACGGCACGCGAGCACCCGGUACAACCGUUACACUUUAAUGAAGGUCCCGUACAGCGCGCGCCGCCCCCCCGCCCCGCCCCCCCUCGCCCGCCUCAGAGGUCGGCGCGGGCGCCGGCGGCCCGCGGCGCGUACUUGGGCAUCAGUUCGUGGAUCCUGCGGAUGAAGUCGGACUUCUCGGCGCAGCCCUUGCACGUCUCGCCCCAGUCGUCGAGGAUCCGCCGCAGCUCCUUGACGCGCAGCUUGCGCAGGUCCGCGGUGCUCAGGUCGAUCUGCUUGUCUGCGGGGAGAGCGGGGCCGCCGUCAGCGGGGCCGCUGCCCCCCGUGAGCAGCCGCGGCCGGGCGAAGCAGCGCCUGGCUCCCGCAGCGGGGAAAGGACGGACUCUGGCACCAGCUUCAGGUUAGAGGCAGGAGGUCUACAAGAAACCCGAAAUCCCAACUACUCAUACUACGGAAAAUAGUUUAAUUUCCUCUUCCACUGGGAAAGAUUGGGGAGCGGAGAGAUUUCAGAGGAAAGAUAAGCAAGUGACAGCAACAGAAAGCUGAUCAGAAGGCAACAGGACAUCUAAUACAUCUUUUACAGAAAGGAAUACAUCAUCCAGGAACAAAAGAGUUCAAGAAAGCUGGCAAGAAACAUGCUGCUGAAUGUUCUGGACAGACAUCAGGAGAUGAGAAAGUGCUUAUCAAGCAGCUACCUGGUAACUGUGAGAGCGGCUGUGCUGGGCAGCUUCACUAAGGGCCUGGGCCCUGGUUCAACAGCUGCCAUCCCAAGCCAUAGCAACAUGCCUGGCUGCUCCCCAGGACAAGCUUCUAAGUAAGUUAUUCCAGACAGAGGUUUGAGUGCAGUGGUGUUGAUGCAUGGGAGUUACUUACUUCAAGACAGAUCUGUGGUUCUUUGUAAGCUAAAAGACAUAGUAUCAAACAGUCUUAACCUGAGCAUCUCAUUAAAACUCUCUAGGAUGUUCACAUAAGAGAACAA